ACCUGGAGCCCGGGGGUGGAGCUGAUAUUCCAGUUUGAGGGCUGUGCAGCUGGAGACCUGAUGAGAGCUGAUGUUCCAGUUUGCAGGCCGUGCAUCUGGAGACCUGGCAGGGAGCUGAUGUUCCAGUUUGAGGGCCGUGCAUCUGGAGACCUGGUGGAGACCUGGGGAGGAGCUGAUGUUGUUCUAAUUUGAGUGUGGUGCAGCUGGAGAUCCAGGGAUGAGAUGUUCCUGCAGUUCAAAUAUGAGGGUCCCGGAGCUGGAAUCUACAUGAGGAGCCAAUGCUGCCUCUGAUGUCUUAGGUUGUGGAGCUGGAAACUCGUGGAGGAGCUGGUAUUGGUGUUUCUAGUUGAGAGUCGUGGUAUUUCCAGGGUUUCACAAAGGCCAGAUUUUAUUUCAGUUACUUAGAAGAGAAAGAAAAUGUCUUCUGAAAGAGGUGAACUCAAUCAUUACCAAUAGAAAAAGUAUCCACUGUAUUAAUCUCUUAUUAAAACAGGAAAAUAUAACAUUUCCCCCCUUAGAAUAAUGUAUAUAUAUGUAACUUAAAGUUCUAUCAUAUGUAGCCAAACAAUAAAAUCUGGAAACCAG